CUACAUCUAGCCAGUGUGAAAAUGUCAUUCUCUUCUUUUUGCCUUAUUUUCUCCCAAGUGUUCACUUAAAGUAAUCCAUUAUGGGAAAGUAAUAGGAGUAUCGCUCAUUAUUACCAGGAAUUCCUUGCGGAAUUCAAACUGACGUUUGAACCAUUAGGCAGGGAGGAAGACGCCUCCACUGCCUUAAUGCAUAUCAAACAAGGGAACCGGUCUAUCUCAGAUUAUGCCAUAGA